ACUUCGCCCGCGCCCCCCACCAAGGCUAUAGCCCACCCAUUUUUUGGCCAUUUUUCCGCUGGGGGCUUUGGCAGCACGACCUUCGGGCGCUUAUUUUUGGGCGCGGCUUUGCCCGCGGCUUAUUUUUGGCACCCCGAGGCCCCUCGCAAAGUCUCGCCGCAUUCCGAGUCCAGCGGACGAACUUCGCCCGCGCCCCCCACCAAGGCUAUAGCCCACCCGUUUUUUGGCCAUUUUUCCGCUGGGGGGUUUUGGCACCACGACCUUCGGGCGCGGCUUUGCCCGCGGCUUAUUUUUGGCACCCCGAGGCCCCUCGCAAAGUCUCGCCGCAUUCCGAGUCCGGCGGACGAACGUCGCCCGCGCCCCCCACCAAGGCUAUAGCCCACCCGUUUUUUGGCCAUUUUUCCGCUGGGGGGUUUUGGCACCACGACCUUCGGGCACUUAUUUUUGGGCGCGGCUUUGCCCGCGGCUAAUUUUUGGCACCCCGAGGCCCCUCGCAAAGUCUCGCCGCAUUCCGAGUCCGGCGGACGAACUUCGCCCGCGCCCCCCACCAAGGCUAUAGCCCACCCAUUUUUUGGCCAUUUUUCCGCUGGGGGGUUUUGGCACC
rnacentral:lncRNA from 1 species